rnacentral:rRNA from 1 species
UGCAAGUCGACGAACCUUCGGGUUAGUGGCGGACGGGUGAGUAACGCGUGGGAAUCUGCCCUCAGGAGGGGGAUAACGGUUGGAAACGACCGCUAAUACCCCAUAUGCCGAGAGGUGAAAUGAAUUUCGCCUGAGGAUGAGCCCGCGUCUGAUUAGCUUGUUGGUGAGGUAAUGGCUCACCAAGGCAUCGAUCAGUAGCUGGUCUGAGAGGAUGAUCAGCCACACUGGGACUGAGACACGGCCCAGACUCCUACGGGAGGCAGCAGUGGGGAAUUUUCCGCAAUGGGCGAAAGCCUGACGGAGCAACGCCGCGUGAGGGACGAAGGCCUCUGGGCUGUAAACCUCUUUUCUCAAGGAAGAAGAUAUGACGGUACUUGAGGAAUAAGCCACGGCUAAUUCCGUGCCAGCAGCCGCGGUAAUACGGGAGUGGCAAGCGUUAUCCGGAAUUAUUGGGCGUAAAGCGUCCGCAGGCGGCCUUUCAAGUCUGCUGUUAAAGCGUGGAGCUUAACUCCAUCAUGGCAGUGGAAACUGAUAGGCUUGAGUAUGGUAGGGGCAGAGGGAAUUCCCGGUGUAGCGGUGAAAUGCGUAGAUAUCGGGAAGAACACCAGUGGCGAAGGCGCUCUGCUGGGCCAUUACUGACGCUCAUGGACGAAAGCCAGGGGAGCGAAAGGGAUUAGAUACCCCUGUAGUCCUGGCCGUAAACGAUGAACACUAGGUGUCGGGGGAAUCGACCCCUUCGGUGUCGUAGCUAACGC